rnacentral:rRNA from 1 species
AUUGAACGCUAGCGGGAUGCCUUACACAUGCAAGUCGAACGGAGUGGCGAACGGGUGAGUAAUGUAUCGGAACGUGCCCAGUAGCGGGGGAUAACUACGCGAAAGCGUAGCUAAUACCGCAUACUAUUGGAGCGGCCGAUAUCGGAUUAGCUAGUUGGUGGGGUAACGGCUCACCAAGGCGACGAUCCGUAGCUGGUUGGAGAUGACGACCAGCCACACUUGGACUGAGACACGGCCCAGUCGCCCACGGUGUGCAGCAGUGGGGAAUUUUGGGCAUUGUGGGAAUCCCUGUUCCCGCCAUCCCGCGUGUGCGGUGAAGUCCUUCGGUUUUUAAAGCACUUUUGGCAGGAAAGCGGUACCUGCAGACUAAGCCCCGGCUAACUACGUGCCGGCCGCCGCGUUAAUAC